rnacentral:sRNA from 1 species
AUCUAUAUAUGUAUAUAUAUCACAUCACAUACAUACCACCUACUACAUAUGAUACAUCCAUCAAAUAUAGCCAUUAUACACACAUACACCUCCCACACAUAUUCCACACAUAUAUACAUCUCAUACUCACAUUUGCAAACCAUACACAUCACAGAUUACAGAUAUCCCUCUCCACCCCCCAUCUUCCCCCCAAAGGCAAACACACAACUUUAAGAAAAGUAAUGUUUCUUUAAAACCUGACUGGCUGCUUUACUUGUAUUAUUUCCUGUACUGAUUAUAUUCUAUUACCACCAACCUAGUGCUAUAGACCCCUUGUCUUGCUUAUCAACAUUAAUGAAAAGGCAUUAGCCUUACAAAGACAUAUAAACAUGAACAUUGGUUUUUUCUUAUUUUGUUAAAAAGAAAAAAAUACACCCCAAACAACUAAUAGUAAAUUAAUGCUAGAGUAUAGGCCAUCAGGUACUCUCACAUCCACUAUCAAUAUGUUUCUAAGGAAUCAUAGUCUAAGUGUGGAUGAGGCUUCAUCAAGACAAGUGACUACUCUAUAGGCAUGCAGGCCUAAGUUGGGAUCCUUGUAGCUGGGUUCUAAAACAAGGGUGGAGUGAGGCAGUGAAGUCUGUAAUCCCAGUGUGAGAGAGGAGGACACAGGAGGCAUGUGGGACAGUCGGGGUGACAUAGUGUCACUAGUCAGCCAUUUUCUCUAAAUUAGUGAGCUCCAGGUCUAAUGAAAGACACUGCCUCAAAAAGUAAGGUGGGGGCAGCAAGAGAUGAUUCAGGGGGUUAAGAGCAGUUCCUUCAUUUGCAGAGAACUGAGGUUCAGCUCCAAGUUCCCACAACUUCCUAUAAGUCUCGUUUCACUGUUGGCUGUUGUGGGCACUGCAUGGGUAUGGUGUGAAUAGACUCACAUAGGAUCAUGCAUCCACAUACAAAAUUACAUCUUUAAAACUCAAUAAUAGGGUGAAGAGUAACAGCGGAGAGCAUGCAGUGCUGACUGCUUGCCUUCUCAUGUGUAUAUACACACAUACACAUGAGCAAGCAUACAUGUAUAAAAACACACAGAAACUCACAAAAUGGUCCUUACCUUCUGCAGAUACUUUACAGGACAGUGGCCAAAGGUAAACAUUUUGUCUUCAAAGAAUAUCCUUAGCAAAAUGCAUUUGGGGAGAAAUAAUAUGUGUAUUUGUAUGUAUAGAAGGAGACAUAAAAUAUUCUCUGGAAAUUUUCUUGUGUGCUAAGAUUAUUUGCAGCUUUUCAGUUUUUCCCUUCAUGCUUUUUUGUGCUUUGUAUCCAGUUCAUGAUGCUUUUCUAACUUUAGUCUAAAGUGUUUGAAUUAAAUUUGAAAGGUAAGGAAGCUUAUUAAGAAAAUCAACUUCCAGAUUCUACUUUUAUAUCAUUCAAGAAUUAGCUUCUUCAGAGACAGGGAAAUGGCUCAGUGCAUUGAAAAAUGUCUGCAACCCUCUACCAAAAAGAGAAACAUAAACACUAAUCUAGCCACAAGCACUUUGAUCUACAAUUACGUUCUGCCUGCAAGAUGUGCUAGGAUAAUUUUGACUCAAAGCUUGUGGGAGUAACUAACCAAUAUCUAAUUUGACUUAAGGCCCACUAAAGGAGAUGCAACCCAUACCUGAUGCUGACUGGAUGAACAAAAAUCAAUCAAACAAACGAAUCAAGCAACAGCAACAAAAAUAUAAUGAUAAAAUGACUCCUAAUGAUAUUCUGCUAUACUCAUGGAUCAGUGACUUGUUCAGCCAUCCUCAAAGAAGCUUCCCCCUGCAGUAGAAAAAUUAAUGUGUCAGAGAUCCACAACUAGACCUUAUGCAGAGAGUGAGAGACCUUGGAACAAUCACCCUAGGUGAUGUGUCUUCAUGAAAUCCCUUCCCUCAGAACUCAGAGAACCUUGCAGAAAAGGCGGCAGCACGGAGUUCAAGGGAGACUCCAAGGAUUGUUUGUGGAGUGGGAGAAUCUGAAAAUAAGCAUUAU